rnacentral:tRNA from 1 species
UGUCUUGUAGUUAAUAAUAACAUUAAAUUGCAAAUUUAAAAUUGAAUAUAAUUCUAAGGCUU